GUAGAGCCCAACACAGACUGGAGGGUAGGGUAGGGCCCAACACAGACUGGAGGGUAGGGUAGGGAUCUAGGGAACCACUUGGGCCUUUUCCUGUAUUCCAGGUCAUAUUGUAAUGUAAAUAUUAACUCAUUAGCUGAGUAUUUACUAUAAAGAAAAGGAAAUUGUUUUUAGUACAAAUUAUUUUUGUGACUAACCACAUUAGAAUUACAAGACUAGAUAUUAUUAUAGUUCACCCUACUAAAGAUAUCAUCAAAUUAAUCAUCAUCACAUCAUUUUCAGGUAUUUUACAGACUAUGUCUACAGUCUGUUUGAUUUAUGUCCUGUUUUUAUCAUUAUUUAUUUAUCAAAUUUUUGUUGUAAAUUAAUAUGUAGACAAAAUGUAAAUAUUAGUUUUCAGGAAUAUUUUUAUGUAUUUUUUCAAUCCUAAAAUUAUUACAACUACUAUUUGUAUUAAUAUUUCAAAGUGAUGCAAAAGGAAGAUGUUUGGUUUUCCUAAAGAAAAAUCUUGCAUGCAAUCUCAAAAUUAUUCUAAAGUAAGAAAAAUAUCCUGAAGUUUGUUUUUGAGGCACUUGUGGUAUCUUAUUUUUGUUUUUAUGGGUGUGUAUAUUUAACAUACAUGCUAUGUUUAGAAAGCAUUACACAUUUGUGAAUUGUUUACUAAGAGUAACAAUAUCAAUAUUGAUGCAUAGUACUGGCUUAUCUGCAUUUUUUCCCCAUUAAAAUGGUUUAAAUUAAUUAAGCAUUGAUGUAAUUUUUUUAUAGUUUCAUCGGGGUAUGAAAAAAAAAUUGUUUGCAAACUGUAUGAAUCCGCGUUGAUUUUUAGCCCACGUUUUUCGCGCCAUUCUCGGAAUUUUUUUCAUAGUGGUAUGAAAAAAAAAUCUCAACCUAUCAGAAAGCCGCACCCUGCGUACAAACGAAGGAAAAUUAAUUAUUGUAUAAUGUGUUUAAUUUUUGAAAGAUAAGUUUCUUAAGAAAUAUCUUAAGAUUUAUUUUAUGAAUUUGUUUUGGUAAUUCAUAGUGAUACAAAGAUUGUUUGAAUUUUGAUAAAAAAAAUGUACCAUUGCAAUCUCAAAUAAUGUUUAGUUUAUACAUUUUAUUAGCUCACCUGAGCCGAAGGCUCAUGUGAGCUUUUGCUAUGGGGUAUCAUCCGGCGUCCGGCGUGCGUCGUCGGUCUUCGAUCGUCCGUCGUCCGUUAACUUUUUUUAACCGAGAGUGUUGAAAUUCGCAUUGAAUGAUUGGUUAGAAGGUCCUGACUAGAUAUUUGUAUUCAUUAAGUGAAAAUAAAAUUCAAGAUGGCUGCCAUGAUCGCCAUCUUUGAAAUUAUGUUUUGCCUUAUAACUCCAAUAUUAUUUGCUUCGUUGUAAGAAAUGUUCUAGUGACAUUUCUGAAUAAGAGGUCACUGUGACCUAUUUUUCAAUAAUUACAUUAGGGCAAUGAAAAUGGACAUCUAGGAUGAGAAAGGCAUGCCGAUAACAAAUAUUGCAAAAUUAGGCCACUGUGACCUACUUUUCAAUAAUUACAUUAGGGCAAUAGAAAUGGACAUCUAAGAUGAGAAAGGCAUUGAUUUCUGUUCGAAGUUUGACUAUCAUUUGUUUGAUUUUAUUAGAAUUAAUUCUUUGUUAAUAUUAUCAGAAUGGGAUGACAGCUUAAUGGUAUGCAUAUGUUAGCCCUGUCUGACCCCUUGGACUGAUGGGUGGGGCAAAAAAUGUUCAAUUAAAUUAACUGAAAUAUUUCAAAUCUCAGGUGACCAUGGGCCUCUUGUUAUGUUAUGGAGCUAUAACACAAGAGAUUGUGUAUAGUAGAUCAUAUUAUAAGGAUUAACUUGAAUAUAUUCUCAUGUUAUUGAGCUAUAACAUAAGUGAUUGUGUAUAGUAGAUUUCAUUAUAAUGAUUGAGUGUUCUGUCAUUAAAUCACUUCACAGUUUAAGAAGAGUUCACUGUUUUUUGUUGUUAAUGAAGUUUAUCAUCAAAUGAAGUAUUUUUGUUUAUUUUUUCAAUGCGUUAUAAGUUUAUUCAAAAGAAUGACCUUGACAUUUUUAAGGUCAAAGAGGUCAAAUGUAUUAAAAUCUCAUAAUUCAGUGUUACUAACGGUAAUACUAUUUUGCCUGGAGCAAACUAGAGUUGUGGGCUACUAAUGUUGUAAGAAUGUUAACCUUGACAUAUAAAUAAUAUAUAAAUAAGGUUACUAAGGUCAAAAUUUAGAAGUUAUACAUUUAUAGCCAUGUUCUGUACUAUAUAGUGAGAAAACCUCAAACUGAAGGUGGAGUCUUCAGGGGUCAAAUUGAUGAAAGUGUCGACAGAAUACUUCUUUAUAUUGUAUUUCACCAUGUAUUGUGUUGUGUUGUUAAUUUAUUUUUAUAUAAAUGAAAUCGUGACAUUGAUGUACAGCUAUAUAUGUUAUUGAUGUGUUUACCUCCUUCUGUAUAAAAUUACUAUUUGUUGAUUCUUUAUUUAAGAGAACAAAUAAAGAAUUAAAACUAAAACACUA